rnacentral:rRNA from 1 species
UACGUAGGCAGCGAGCGUUGUUCGGAGUUACUGGGCGUAAAGGGUGUGUAGGCGGUUCUUUUAAGUUUGGUGUGAAAUCUCCCGGCUCAACCGGGAGGGUGCGCCGAAAACUGGGGGACUAGAGUGCGGGAUGGGAGAGUAGAAUUCCUGGUGUAGCGGUGAAAUGCGUAGAUAUCAGGAGGAAUACCGGUGGUGUAGACGGCUCUCUGGAACGCAACUGACGCUGAGACGCGAAAGCGUGGGGAGCAAACAGG